UGGUGUAGUAGUUACAAGUUUGGCUACUAACCAAAAGGCUGGUAGUUCGAAUCCACC
rnacentral:tRNA from 1 species